rnacentral:rRNA from 1 species
AUUGAACGCUGGCGGCAGGCCUAACACAUGCAAGUCGAGCGGAGCGGCGGACGGGUGAGUAAUGCCUGGGAAUCUGCCCGAUAGUGGGGGAUAACGUCCGGAAACGGGCGAUAAUACCGCAUACUAUCAGAUGAGCCUAGGUCGGAUUAGCUAGUUGGUGGGGUAAAGGCCUACCAAGGCGACGAUCCGUAACUGGUCUGAGAGGAUGAUCAGUCACACUGGGACUGAGACACGGUCCAGACUCCUACGGGAGGCAGCAGUGGGGAGUAUUGGGCAAUGGGCGAAAGCCUGAUCCAGCCAUGCCGCGUGUGUGAAGAAGGUCUUCGGAUUGUAAAGCACUGUAAGUUGGGAGGCGUUACCAACAGAAUAAGCACCGGCUAACUACGUGCCAGCAGCCGCGGUAAUUC